rnacentral:rRNA from 1 species
UAAUACGUAGGGUGCGAGCGUUAAUCGGAAUUACUGGGCGUAAAGCGUGCGCAGGCGGUUUUGUAAGCCAGACGUGAAAUCCCCGGGCUUAACCUGGGAAUGGCGUUUGGGACUGCAAGGCUGGAGUGCGGCAGAGGGGACUGGAAUUCCUGGUGUAGCAGUGAAAUGCGUAGAUAUCAGGAGGAACACCGAUGGCGAAGGCAGGUCCCUGGGCUGACACUGACGCUCAUGCACGAAAGCGUGGGGAGCAAACAGGAUUAGAUACCCUGGUAGUCCACGCCCUAAACGAUGUCGACUGGUUGUUGGGGGUUUGACACUCUCAGUAACGAAGCUAACGCGUGAAGUCGACCGCCUGGGGAGUACGGCCGCAAGGUUAAAACUUAAAUGAAUUGACGG